rnacentral:lncRNA from 1 species
AGAAGUUAAAUGAACUGAAGAAGGGGAUGGAGAAAGAGAUUGACAAUAUUGAGGCAAUGCGUAGGAAGGAGCUCCUUGCAGCAGAGGAGACAAUGGAACAACAAAAGCAGGAGCAGAGAGAGAUGGGGAUGAGACAUGAUGCUCUGAUGUCCCAGAAGAUGGCCGCAGCAGCAAAGCCCACCGCUGUGGAGGACAAGACGGAAAGCACGAAGCCCCCCAGCACGCUGGAGAAAAUGGAGAAGCUUGUGGCAGAGCAGAAGACAGAAAUUAAACGCGGGAUAUGCCUGGGAAGAAGGCAGCUGACAACCCUGGCAAACAGACUGUCUUCACUGCAGGAACUCCACUGGUGGGUUAAAACCUUAACACCGAUGUGUGUUCACACAGGGACCUGAAAUUGCGUAGACAGCUCAAUGUCUCCCACUUCAGCCCAACAUAGGUGCUGGGCCGCAGAGGUCGGACCGCACGUGUGCAUCUGGGAUGAGCAGUUGCGUGAGCAGUUGCAUGAGCAGUAGAGUCACAGACACACUCUCCCGCAUUGGCCAUGGUAAGAUCAUAACCAGCUCUCUCAUCUGUU